UUGUCAUUAAUUUAUGCUCUGUGUUACCUCUGUAGACAUUACUUCGAAAGAUGAAACGAACGGAUUGUUAAUGAAAGCUCUUCUAAGUGUGCUCAGCCUUGUCGUGAUUAGCGUGGUGGUGAUUAUUAAACCAUCGUGCGGGGCAGCAUUUGGGAGAAGAAAGGCUUAAAUAUCAAGCCAGAAUCGACAAAACCCCCGCACCGCCAGGUCCGGGGGUUUUUUAUUGGUCAGUGUUAUGCGAUGAGGUGAGCAGAGAAUGAGCAGUAGCACAAAAUCCUGUUUAUC
rnacentral:sRNA from 1 species